GACGAACCGUGCAAACGUUGUUCGGAAUCACUGGGCUUAAAGGGCGCGUAGGCGGGCCAGCCAGUCUGUGGUGAAAGCCCCCCGGCUUAACCGGGGAAGUGCCGUGGAUACUGCUGGCCUCGAGGAGGAUAGGGGCAUCUGGAACGGUCGGUGGAGCGGUGAAAUGCGUUGAUAUCGACCGGAACUCCGGUGGCGAAGGCGAGGUGCUGGGUCCUUUCUGACGCUGAUGCGCGAAAGCCAGGGGAGCAAACGGG
rnacentral:rRNA from 1 species